UCACGUUGAAACACUGGUUCUCGUACGAUCACCAAAGUUAAGCAAAGUUGAGUUUGGUCAGUACCAAAAUGGGUGACAGCUUCGGAAUACCAGAUGCUGUAAG